GAUUUGGGAAAUGCCAUUUAUAAGGAUAAGAACAUCUGAAAAAUAUCCACGAGCAGCGUACUUGCUUCCCCCUCCCCCAUAAAAGAAACAAUAAUAAGAAUUUCUCAUUCUGCACUUUUCUUUGUUUUCUUUCCAAUUUCAUAUUAUGUACUUUAAACUGGUACUAAAUUUCACAUCCAGACUAGCACAUAUUGAGAAUAUUUGAACGACAGUUGAGGGUUCCAGG
rnacentral:lncRNA from 1 species